AAGGAUAUAGCUCAGUGGUAGAGUGCAUGCCUAGCAUGGAUUCCUGGGUUCAAUCCCCAGUACUGCUG
rnacentral:tRNA from 1 species